rnacentral:lncRNA from 1 species
AUUGCUAUAAAUAACUUCAAAUUCCCCCCAUUAAAAUAAAAAAAGAUUCCCCUCCCAACUCAGUGCUUACUGACAUCCACUCUCAGAUCAACAGAGUUUCUUGUCCCAGGAAGAAGAUUGGGUUUUCUCUUUUGUAAUAUUUAACCUUUUGUUUUUGGAGAUUUGGUGGGCAUGCAUGCAGCCAAAGUCAUGCCUGGGUUCAACACUACACCCCUUACGCUGGAUCUAAAUGAUUUUUGUAGUCCGAAGCCGGUUUUAAAUAAGGGUCACAAUUUUACAUUUUGAUUAGUGAUGUGAAAUGGAAUAAAUAUGGUUUAAU